GCUUUCCUCAUGCAGAAGGGAUGUUUCUCAGCUGCAGCAGGUUCCUUUGCAACCGAUAUGAACGGAGUGUGUGGGAGAGACGCUGCGUGGAACCCGCAAAUGUGUUUCUGGAAGGGUGCCAAAUGGCCACCAGAGGAUUUAAUUUGUCAAUAAGCUGCACGAAUGCCCAGGCCACCUCCAUCUGCUGCUGUGACAGAACACAAUUAACAGGAAAAUCCCAGGUACUUUCCUUCACUAAUGAUACUGGAGUUUUCUGGCUGAGCAAUUUGACAUCAUCAUCAUCACAGACAUUUCCCCUAUCUCUAUAGCAACGUAUGAUGAUGCCACAAACAGAAGAUUAUGCAAUCUGUGUAGACUCAGAUGGAAGGAGAGGCAGGGCUGGGAGCUGUGAUUUAAACACAAAUGUCUCUAAUAGCAGCAAGGGGAAUACAGAAACUUUUUGGCCAUGGAAAUGGUUUUAGUAUAAACAUUCUCAUCUUCCAAGUUUUGCUCCGGUGGGAAAGUUUCUCCUUAAAGUCCUCUUAUACAUAUGUGUGUUGUAUAUACACGUUCACACACAGAUAUAUUUAUUUAUGUGUAAAAGAAUGCAAUGAUUAUGCAAAUGCACUAUUGUUCCCACCAUUGUGCAGGCAGGGAUGUGCAUGCAUACUGUGCACCAUUGUGCAGGCAGGGAUGCUGCCAGCACCCUAAACAUAACCUCUACAUUUUCGAAGACCUACCGUGCUCUGCUCAUGUCAGGCACAAAAAUGCUGUGGAUCUGCCCAGAUCUCAUGUUCCCUUUUCAGCUGAGGGCUGCUGCAUCAGACCCUACUGAAUGUCUUUUUUUUUCAUGUAUGAUAUAGGAAUGAUUGUGUCCUUGGCUAGGUGGGACCAGCAUCCUCCUCUUUCAGACCCACUCUAUCCUUUCCCUACCAGCUUUGUCCUGCAGUUAAGGCAGAGAAGGAGAAGGGCCAGUUUGAAAUCUCAACCCUCACAAAGACUUUCUAGCUAAGCCUAAGGAAGUGCCUUUGAAACCCUCUCUGUGCCUCAGUUUCUCCUGCAGUAGGACUAAUAAGCCUCAGUUCUUAAAGAAGUGGUGAGAAUAACUCCACUCUAUUUCAAAUGCUCAGACUCUUCAAUAAGGGGAUCCAUGGAGACUUUGAAAAACACACUUAUGGGUGCUUCUUCUAUGUUUAUCUUGUUUUUAUUGAACAUACAAAUGCAUCCUAUCUAGCACACGUCAGAAUCAAUAACUAUGCCUUGUUAGCAGUUUUUCCAUUUAUGGCAUAUUGUCCUGACAUAGCUGUAAAACCUCAAUGAAUAU
rnacentral:lncRNA from 7 species